GACGAACGCUGGCGGCGUGCUUAACACAUGCAAGUCGAACGAAGAGCGAUGGAAGCUUGCUUCUAUCAAUCUUAGUGGCGAACGGGUGAGUAACGCGUAAUCAACCUGCCCUUCAGAGGGGGACAACAGUUGGAAACGACUGCUAAUACCGCAUACGAUCUAACCUCGGCAUCGAGGAGAGAUGAAAGGUGGCCUCUAUGUAUAAGCUAUCACUGAAGGAGGGGAUUGCGUCUGAUUAGCUAGUUGGAGGGGUAACGGCCCACCAAGGCGAUGAUCAGUAGCCGGUCUGAGAGGAUGAACGGCCACAUUGGGACUGAGACACGGCCCAGACUCCUACGGGAGGCAGCAGUGGGGAAUCUUCCGCAAUGGACGAAAGUCUGACGGAGCAACGCCGCGUGAGUGAUGACGGCCUUCGGGUUGUAAAGCUCUGUUAAUCGGGACGAAAGGCCUUCUCGCGAACAGUUAG
rnacentral:rRNA from 1 species